rnacentral:rRNA from 1 species
GAUGAACGCUGGCGGCAGGCCUAACACAUGCAAGUCGAACGGCAGCACAGAAGAGCUUGCUCUUUGGGUGGCGAGUGGCGGACGGGUGAGUAACACGUAGGAAUCUACCCAGUAGUGGGGGAUAACCUGGGGAAACCCAGGCUAAUACCGCAUACGCCCUGAGGGGGAAAGCGGGGGAUCUUCGGACCUCGCGCUAUUGGAUGAGCCUGCGUCGGAUUAGCUAGUUGGUGGGGUAAGGGCCCACCAAGGCGACGAUCCGUAGCUGGUCUGAGAGGAUGACCAGUCACACCGGAACUGAGACACGGUCCGGACUCCUACGGGAGGCAGCAGUGGGGAAUAUUGGACAAUGGGCGCAAGCCUGAUCCAGCCAUGCCGCGUGGGUGAAGAAGGCCUCGGUUG